CAGUGGUAGCAACGCAGAGUGACCCCGUCCUCGCUUGGAACAGAAGGGCGCUUUCCCGGUCGCCCCUGUAAAAUGGCUCACAGUCUGGAGUCACCUUGUAUUUGAGGUAUAACUGCAGGCUCCGUUUCUUUGCCGCCGAAGUGCGCCACCUCUCUGUGCUGGCUUCGGUGAUAGUGUUUUUUGUUAUUUGACGCCAUUCUCGUUGAGAUUUUGCUUCUUCUAGUUUCGUGUUAUGGCCGAAUUUAUUUUCCAGGGAAGCCAGUCUUUUCAUCCACUGUG
rnacentral:lncRNA from 1 species